GAUGAACGCUGGCGGCGUGCCUAAUACAUGCAAGUCGAGCGAACGGACGAGAAGCUUGCUUUUCUGAUGUUAGCGGCGGACGGGUGAGUAACACGUGGGUAACCUACCUAUAAGACUGGGAUAACUUCGGGAAACCGGAGCUAAUACCGGAUAAUAUUUUGAACCGCAUGGUUCAAAAGUGAAAGACGGUCUUGCUGUCACUUAUAGGUGGAUCCGCGCUGCAUUAGCUAGUUGGUAAGGUAACGGCUUACCAAGGCAACGAUGCAUAGCCGACCUGAGAGGGUGAUCGGCCACACUGGAACUGAGACACGGUCCAGACUCCUACGGGAGGCAGCAGUAGGGAAUCUUCCGCAAUGGGCGAAAGCCUGACGGAGCAACGCCGCGUGAGUGAUGAAGGUCUUCGGAUCGUAAAACUCUGUUAUUAGGGAAGAACAUAUGUGUAAGUAACUGUGCACAUCUUGACGGUACCUAAUCAGAAAGCCACGGCUAACUACGUG
rnacentral:rRNA from 1 species